rnacentral:rRNA from 1 species
AGUGAACGCUGGCGGUAGGCCUAACACAUGCAAGUCGAACGGCAGCACAGUAAGAGCUUGCUCUUACGGGUGGCGAGUGGCGGACGGGUGAGGAAUACAUCGGAAUCUACUUUUUCGUGGGGGAUAACGUAGGGAAACUUACGCUAAUACCGCAUACGACCUACGGGUGAAAGCAGGGGAUCUUCGGACCUUGCGCGAUUGAAUGAGCCGAUGUCGGAUUAGCUAGUUGGCGGGGUAAAGGCCCACCAAGGCGACGAUCCGUAGCUGGUCUGAGAGGAUGCUCAGCCACACUGGAACUGAGACACGGUCCAGACUACUACGGGAGGCAGCAGUGGGGAAUAUUGGACAAUGGGCGCAAGCCUGAUCCAGCCAUACCGCGUGGGUGAAGAAGGCCUUCGAGUUGUAAAGCCCUUUUGUUGGGAAAGAAAAGCAGCAGGUUAAUACCCCGCUGUUCUGACGGUACCCAAAGAAUAAGCACCGGCUAACUUCGUG